CCUCUGCAAGUAUGUCUUCGGGGUCACACCAUCUGUAGCUAUGGAUUUCACCAGCUGCAAGAGUGGGUCAUCACUGUCAUUCAUGACAAUAUUUUGAAAUGCAGAGCUGUCACAGAAAGUACAGCAUAAGCACUGACAAAAGGCAUCAAAGGAGCAGGUGUUUAACACAGAGAGUGACAAUGUCCCAACUUUAACAGGCUGAUGCAUGUUUCCAUUUUUCAAUAGUCCCACUUUCACUCUUUUGGCCCCAGAUGAUGAAUCUGCAUGGAGCCAUUCAGUGCAGGAACUCAGGUAUGAAGACCUAUUCCUCUUUUUGGGUGGAAGAAUUUGUCCUCUCCAGUUUUCAACCGCGUUUUCAUCUGCAGUGGAAAGGUUUCUGGUGGCUUCCGAUUCCAUCACAUCGCUCAAAUUCAUGUUUCUGCUACCUUCUGCAUUGUGGGUAAUUAUGGAUGCAGGGUCAGCUUCUGUAACUUCUGCUGAUGCAACUUGUCCCUCCUCCUGUUGUGCUUUUGCAGAGCAAAUCCGCAUAUUUCCUUCGAUGAAGGAAAGAUGCCUAGAAAUGAAGCGGUCGACUCGAAUGGGUAAGUUAUCAUGUUUGAAGAGGCCAUGUUUUACAUUUUUGAAUUCUGCUUCAACAUUGGCUGAGCUUGCUGUGAGGCUGGUACUUUUGAAGAGGGGAACCAUUAUUCCUGUCCACAGUGAUGCAGCGUGUGUCCUGCUCUCCUCACAAAUGUUUGACACCCAGUCUCGUAGGUCAGUCUGGAAGUCAUCACAUGGAUCGACUUGAUGCACUUCCUGUGCAUCUUCUUCUGGAAUGAUGAUGGAGUCUUCUGCAAUCUGUGCUUUCAGGCAGUCCCACUGGCAUACCAUCUUUAUGCAGUGGGCAACAUCAAC